rnacentral:rRNA from 1 species
GGCGGCAGGCNUNACACAUGCAAGUCGAGCGGCAGCGGGAAAGUAGCUUGCUACUUUUGCCGGCGAGCGGCGGACGGGUGAGUAAUGCCUGGGAAAUUGCCCANUCGAGGGGGAUAACAGUUGGAAACGACUGCUAAUACCGCAUACGCCCUACGGGGGAAAGCAGGGGACCUUCNGGCCUUGCGCGAUUGGAUAUGCCCAGGUGGGAUUAGCUAGUUGGUGAGGUAAUGGCUCACCAAGGCGACGAUCCCUAGCUGGUCUGAGAGGAUGAUCAGCCACACUGGAACUGACACACGGCCCACACUCCUACGGGAGGCAGCAGUGGGGAAUAUUGCACAAUGGGGGAAACCCUGAUGCAGCCAUGCCGCGUGUGUGAAGAAGGCCUUCGGGUUGUAAAGCACUUUCAGCGAGGAGGAAAGGUCAGUANCUAAUAUCUGCUGACUGUGACGUUACUCNCANAAGAAGCACCGGCUAACUCCGUG